UACGGGGGGGGCAAGCGUUGUUCGGAAUUACUGGGCGUAAAGGGCUCGUAGGCGGCCAACUAAGUCAGACGUGAAAUCCCUCGGCUUAACCGGGGAACUGCGUCUGAUACUGGAUGGCUUGAGUCCGGGAGAGGGACGCGGAAUUCCAGGUGUAGCGGUGAAAUGCGUAGAUAUCUGGAGGAACACCGGUGGCGAAGGCGGCGUCCUGGACCAAUACUGACACUGAGGAGCGAAAGCCAGGGGAGCAAACGGG
rnacentral:rRNA from 1 species